CUCAGCAUUGAUGUUUCAGGAGGAACGGGAGCCCAGUCAGUGACUCAGCCUGAUGCCCAGGUGUUGGUCUCUGAAGGAGCCCGUCUGGAGCUGAAGUGCAACUAUUCCUCUAGUGCAACGACUUAUGUCUUCUGGUACGUGCAGUACCCCAACCAAGGACUCCAGCUUCUCCUCAAGUACAUAUCAGGGGACACCCUGGUUAAAGGCCUCAACGGUUUCGAGGCUGAGUUUAAGAAGAGUGAAACCUCUUUCCACCUGAGGAAAUCCCCAGCCCUUGGUAGUGAUGCAGCCAAGUACUUCUGCUCUGUGAGCGACACGGUGCCUGGGUCCGCAGGGGGAGCUGAACACAAACCUUGGGACUUUUCAUGA